GAUGAACGCUAGCGGCAGGCCUAACACAUGCAAGUCGAGGGGUAGAGGAAGCUUGCUUCCUUGAGACCGGCGCACGGGUGCGUAACGCGUAUGCAAUCUACCUUUUACAGAGGGAUAGCCCAGAGAAAUUUGGAUUAAUACCUCAUAGUAUUUUCGAAUGGCAUCAUUUGAUUAUUAAAGUUCCAACGGUAAAAGAUGAGCAUGCGUCCUAUUAGCUAGAUGGUAAGGUAACGGCUUACCAUGGCAACGAUAGGUAGGGGUCCUGAGAGGGAGAGCCCCCACACUGGUACAGAGACACGGACCCGACGCCUACGGGAGGCAGCAGUGAGGAAUAUUGGACAAUGGGCGCAAGCCUGAUCCAGCCAUGCCGCGUGCAGGAAGACGCAUCUAUGGUGUGUAAACUGCUUUUGUACGGGAAGAAACACUCCCUCGUGAGGGAGCUUGACGGUACCGUAAGAAUAAGGAUCGGCUAACUCCGUGCCAGCAGCCGCCGCGGUAA
rnacentral:rRNA from 1 species